rnacentral:miRNA from 1 species
GAUGGGUAAAUGGGACGUGUGUGUGUAUGUAUGUAUGUGUGUGUGUAUGUAUAUAUAAUACACACACACAUACACACAUACAUAUAUAUAUACAAACAC